UACGUAGGGGGCAAGCGUUGUCCGGAAUCAUUGGGCGUAAAGCGCGUGUAGGCGGUUCGGUAAGUCUGCUGUGAAAGUCCAGGGCUCAACCCUGGGAUGCCGGUGGAUACUGUCGGGCUAGAGUGCGGAAGAGGCGAGUGGAAUUCCUGGUGUAGCGGUGAAAUGCGCAGAUAUCAGGAAGAACACCCGUGGCUAAGGCGGCUCUCUAGUACGGUACUGACGCUGAGACGCGAAAGCGUGGGGAGCGAACAGG
rnacentral:rRNA from 1 species